UGUCUAAUAUCUCAUUCGGUAGAGAAGGAGACUCUUAAUUUCAGGGCCAUGGGUUCGAGCUCCACGUUGGGCAA